UACGUAGGGUGCAAGCGUUGUCCGGAAUUAUUGGGCGUAAAGAGCUCGUAGGCGGUUUGUCGCGUCUGCUGUGAAAAUCCGAUGCUCAACAUCGGACCUGCAGUGGGUACGGGCAAGCUAGAGUGCGGUAGGGGAGAUGGGAAUUCCUGGUGUAGCGGUGGAAUGCGCAGAUAUCAGGAGGAACACCAAUGGCGAAGGCACAUCUCUGGGCCGUAACUGACGCUGAGGAGCGAAAGCGUGGGGAGCGAACAGGAUUAGAUACCCGCGUAGUCC
rnacentral:rRNA from 1 species